ACAUGCGCAAACGCAGAUCGCGAUGCGUGUACUAUUCUUGCUCUGUCUGUUGGUGAUAAUAGUGCAGGCGUAUGAUGACCGAGCGGGUUCCGUGAGCAGCGUUAGGUCGCCAAAUCCUAGAGUUGUACAAAAACUAUCAUUUUUCAAUUCUAUUGCUACCCUGGCUGAGAUUAUAGCUAAUGUUUUGGGGAUAGUUAUGGAUGGAAAGAAAAUUAAAGAAGAUGGCGUUGGGUAACGAGUGGCGAAGUUUUGGGUA